rnacentral:rRNA from 1 species
CGGACGGGUGAGUAACGCGUGAGCAACCUGCCGCCUGGUGGGGGAUAACCUUUGGGAAACCGGGGCUAAUACCGCAUAUGUCCGGGUGAUCGAUGGAUCGCCCGAGCAAAGCCGAAAGGCGCCGGGUGAGGGGCUCGCGGCCCAUCAGCUAGUAGGUGUGGUAAUGGCGCACCUAGGCUAUGACGGGUAGCUGGUCUGAGAGGAUGAUCAGCCACACUGGGACUGAGACACGGCCCAGACUCCUACGGGAGGCAGCAGCGAGGAAUUUUCCACAAUGGGCCGUAUGGCCUGAUGGAGCAACGCCGCGUGGGGGACGAAGCGUUUCGGCGUGUAAACCCCUUUUGGGCGGGAAGAUGAUGACGGUACCGCCCGAAUAAGCCCCGGCUAACUACGUGCCAGCAGCCGCGGUAAUACGUAGGGGGCGAGCGUUGUCCGGAUUUAUUGGGCGUAAAGAGCGCGCAGGCGGCCCGCCAAGUCACCACGUGAAAUCCCCCGGCUCAACCGGGGAGGGUCGGGUGAAACUGGCGGACUUGAGGAUGGGAGAGGGGUGCGGAAUUCCCGGUGUAGUGGUGAAAUGCGUAGAUAUCGGGAGGAACACCAGUGGCGAAGGCGGCACCCUGGCCCACACCUGACGCUGAGGCGCGAAGGCCGGGGGAGCGAAUGGGAUUAGAUACCCCAGUAGUC